rnacentral:rRNA from 1 species
AGUGAACGCUGGCGGUAGGCCUAACACAUGCGAGUCGAACGGCAGCACAGUAAGAGCUUGUUCUUACGGGUAGCGAGUGGCGGACGGGUGAGGAGUACAUCGGAAUCUACUUUUUCGUGGGGGAUAACGUAGGGAAACUUACGCUAAUACCGCAUACGACCUACGGGUGAAAGCAGGGGAUCUUCGGACCUUGCGCGAUUGAAUGAGCCGAUGUCGGAUUAGCUAGUUGGCGGGGUAAAGGCCCACCAAGGCGACGAUCCGUAGCUGGUCUGAGAGGAUGAUCAGCCACACUGGAACUGAGACACGGUCCAGACUCCUACGGGAGGCAGCAGUGGGGAAUAUUGGACAAUGGGCGCAAGCCUGAUCCAGCCAUACCGCGUGGGUGAAGAAGGCCUUCGGGUUGUAAAGCCCUUUUGUUGGGAAAGAAAAGCAGCAGGUUAAUACCCCGCUGUUCUGACGGUACCCAAAGAAUAAGCACCGGCUAACUUCGUG